UACGUAGGGUCCGAGCGUUGUCCGGAAUUACUGGGCGUAAAGAGCUCGUAGGUGGUUUGUCGCGUUGUUCGUGAAAACUCACAGCUCAACUGUGGGCGUGCGGGCGAUACGGGCAGACUAGAGUACUGCAGGGGAGACUGGAAUUCCUGGUGUAGCGGUGAAAUGCGCAGAUAUCAGGAGGAACACCAAUGGCGAAGGCAGUGUCCUGGCUGGUGACUGACGCUGAGGUGCGAAAGCUAGGGGAGCGAACGGG
rnacentral:rRNA from 1 species